UUAAGCGACUAAGCGUACACGGUGGAUGCCCUGGCAGUCAGAGGCGAUGAAGGACGUGCUAAUCUGCGAUAAGCGUCGGUGAGGUGAUAUGAACCGUUAUAACCGGCGAUUUCCGAAUGGGGAAACCCAGUGUGUUUCGACACACUAUCAUUAACUGAAUCCAUAGGUUAAUGAGGCGAACCGGGGGAACUGAAACAUCUAAGUACCCCGAGGAAAAGAAAUCAACCGAGAUUCCCCCAGUAGCGGCGAGCGAACGGGGAGGAGCCCAGAGCCUGAAUCAGUGUGUGUGUUAGUGGAAGCGUCUGGAAAGGCGUGCGAUACAGGGUGACAGCCCCGUACACAAAAAUGCACAUAUUGUGAGCUCGAUGAGUAGGGCGGGACACGUGGUAUCCUGUCUGAAUAUGGGGGGACCAUCCUCCAAGGCUAAAUACUCCUGACUGACCGAUAGUGAACCAGUACCGUGAGGGAAAGGCGAAAAGAACCCCGGCGAGGGGAGUGAAAAAGAACCUGAAACCGUGUACGUACAAGCAGUGGGAGCCUCUUAAUGGGGUGACUGCGUACCUUUUGUAUAAUGGGUCAGCGACUUAUAUUCUGUAGCAAGGUUAACCGAAUAGGGGAGCCGAAGGGAAACCGAGUCUUAACUGGGCGUUAAGUUGCAGGGUAUAGACCCGAAACCCGGUGAUCUAGCCAUGGGCAGGUUGAAGGUUGGGUAACACUAACUGGAGGACCGAACCGACUAAUGUUGAAAAAUUAGCGGAUGACUUGUGGCUGGGGGUGAAAGGCCAAUCAAACCGGGAGAUAGCUGGUUCUCCCCGAAAGCUAUUUAGGUAGCGCCUCGUGAAUUCAUCUCCGGGGGUAGAGCACUGUUUCGGCAAGGGGGUCAUCCCGACUUACCAACCCGAUGCAAACUGCGAAUACCGGAGAAUGUUAUCACGGGAGACACACGGCGGGUGCUAACGUCCGUCGUGAAGAGGGAAACAACCCAGACCGCCAGCUAAGGUCCCAAAGUCAUGGUUAAGUGGGAAACGAUGUGGGAAGGCCCAGACAGCCAGGAUGUUGGCUUAGAAGCAGCCAUCAUUUAAAGAAAGCGUAAUAGCUCACUGGUCGAGUCGGCCUGCGCGGAAGAUGUAACGGGGCUAAACCAUGCACCGAAGCUGCGGCAGCGACACUAUGUGUUGUUGGGUAGGGGAGCGUUCUGUAAGCCUGUGAAGGUGGCCUGUGAGGGUUGCUGGAGGUAUCAGAAGUGCGAAUGCUGACAUAAGUAACGAUAAAGCGGGUGAAAUGCCCGCUCGCCGGAAGACCAAGGGUUCCUGUCCAACGUUAAUCGGGGCAGGGUGAGUCGACCCCUAAGGCGAGGCCGAAAGGCGUAGUCGAUGGGAAACAGGUUAAUAUUCCUGUACUUGGUGUUACUGCGAAGGGGGGACGGAGAAGGCUAUGUUGGCCGGGCGACGGUUGUCCCGGUUUAAGCGUGUAGGCUGGUUUUCCAGGCAAAUCCGGAAAACCAAGGCUGAGGCGUGAUGACGAGGCACUACGGUGCUGAAGCGACAAAUGCCCUGCUUCCAGGAAAAGCCUCUAAGCAUCAGGUAACAUCAAAUCGUACCCAAAACCGACACAGGUGGUCAGGUAGAGAAUACCAAGGCGCUUGAGAGAACUCGGGUGAAGGAACUAGGCAAAAUGGUGCCGUAACUUCGGGAGAAGGCACGCUGAUAUGUAGGUGAAGCGACUUGCUCGUGGAGCUGAAAUCAGUCGAAGAUACCAGCUGGCUGCAACUGUUUAUUAAAAACACAGCACUGUGCAAACACGAAAGUGGACGUAUACGGUGUGACGCCUGCCCGGUGCCGGAAGGUUAAUUGAUGGGGUUAGCGGUAACGCGAAGCUCUUGAUCGAAGCCCCGGUAAACGGCGGCCGUAACUAUAACGGUCCUAAGGUAGCGAAAUUCCUUGUCGGGUAAGUUCCGACCUGCACGAAUGGCGUAAUGAUGGCCAGGCUGUCUCCACCCGAGACUCAGUGAAAUUGAACUCGCUGUGAAGAUGCAGUGUACCCGCGGCAAGACGGAAAGACCCCGUGAACCUUUACUAUAGCUUGACACUGAACAUUGAGCCUUGAUGUGUAGGAUAGGUGGGAGGCUUUGAAGUGUGGACGCCAGUCUGCAUGGAGCCGACCUUGAAAUACCACCCUUUAAUGUUUGAUGUUCUAACGUUGGCCCGUAAUCCGGGUUGCGGACAGUGUCUGGUGGGUAGUUUGACUGGGGCGGUCUCCUCCUAAAGAGUAACGGAGGAGCACGAAGGUUGGCUAAUCCUGGUCGGACAUCAGGAGGUUAGUGCAAUGGCAUAAGCCAGCUUGACUGCGAGCGUGACGGCGCGAGCAGGUGCGAAAGCAGGUCAUAGUGAUCCGGUGGUUCUGAAUGGAAGGGCCAUCGCUCAACGGAUAAAAGGUACUCCGGGGAUAACAGGCUGAUACCGCCCAAGAGUUCAUAUCGACGGCGGUGUUUGGCACCUCGAUGUCGGCUCAUCACAUCCUGGGGCUGAAGUAGGUCCCAAGGGUAUGGCUGUUCGCCAUUUAAAGUGGUACGCGAGCUGGGUUUAGAACGUCGUGAGACAGUUCGGUCCCUAUCUGCCGUGGGCGCUGGAGAACUGAGGGGGGCUGCUCCUAGUACGAGAGGACCGGAGUGGACGCAUCACUGGUGUUCGGGUUGUCAUGCCAAUGGCACUGCCCGGUAGCUAAAUGCGGAAGAGAUAAGUGCUGAAAGCAUCUAAGCACGAAACUUGCCCCGAGAUGAGUUCUCCCUGACUCCUUGAGGGUCCUGAAGGAACGUUGAAGACGACGACGUUGAUAGGCCGGGUGUGUAAGCGCAGCGAUGCGUUGAGCUAACCGGUACUAAUGAACCGUGAGGCUUAACCUU
rnacentral:rRNA from 2 species